AACGAACGCUGGCGGCAUGCCUAACACAUGCAAGUCGAGCGAGAUCUCCCGGUCUAGCUGCGGACCGGUGAGUAACGCGUGGGAAUAUGCCCCUUGGUACGGAAUAGUCUCCGGAAACUGGGAGUAAUACCGUUUGUGCUCUUUGGGGGAAAGAUUUAUCGCCAAGAGAUUAGCCUGCGUUGGAUUAGGUAGUUGGUGGGGUAAUGGCCUACCAACCCCACGAUCCAUGGCUGGUUUGGGAGGAUGAUCAACCACACUGGGAAUUAGACACGGCCCAGACUCCGACGGGAGGCAGCAGUAGGGGAUCAUAGACGAUGGAGGCAGCCCUGAGCAAGCCCUGGCGCGUGAGUGAUGAAGGCGUUAGGGUUGUAAAGCUCUUUCAGCUGGGAAGAUAAUGACGGUACCAGCAGAAGAAGCCCCGGCUAACUCCGUG
rnacentral:rRNA from 1 species